rnacentral:rRNA from 1 species
AUUGAACGCUAGCGGGAUGCCUUACACAUGCAAGUCGAACGAGUGGCGGACGGGUGAGUAAUAUAUCGGAACGUGCCCAGCAGCGGGGGAUAACUACUCGAAAGAGUGGCUAAUACCGCAUACUAUCGGAGCGACCGACAUCGGAUUAGCUAGUUGGUGGGGUAAAGGAUCACCAAGGCCACGAUCCGUCGCUGGUUUGAGAGGACGACCAGCCACACUGGAACUGAGACACGGCCCAGAAUCCUACGGGAGGCAGGAGUGGGGAAUUUUGGACAAUGGGGGAAACCCUGAUGCAGCCAUGCCGCGUGUAUGAGAAGGCCUUCGGGUUGUAAAGUACUUUUAGCGGGGAGGCGUUAUCUGCAGAAUAAGCACCGGCUAACUCCGUGCCAGCAGCCGCGGUAAUAC